rnacentral:misc_RNA from 1 species
GCUUGAAGCAUGGGUAAUAUAGCCCUUCGGGCAGCAUAUUUUUCUUCCUUUAUCACCCUUCGCUUCUUAUUUCCUACGCCGACUUGGUACAUACCCCAUGAGAAAACACCAAAAGCAGUAAGGAAAAUAGCCAUAGCACUUGGACCAGUGUUAGGGAUCCGGCGAGCGAAUCGAACCGGUGCAAAACCGCCUGGUGGUGGACCAUCUUGCAAUAAGGGCAUGUCUUUCACGCUAGCCAUUCCGGCUUUCUUCCUUAUCAUUGCCUCCGUCAUUUUUCCUACAGUGUGAUUUUCCCUCUGUGCCGGAACACUGUAAUUUUGAGCUGCUUUACAGGGCUACAGUGAUGGCG